rnacentral:rRNA from 1 species
CUAAGGUGACUGCCGGCUAAAAGUCGGAGGAAGGUGGGGAGUGACGUCAAAUCAUCAUGCCCUUAUGACCUGGGCUACACACGUGCUACAAUGGGCGGUACAAAGGGUCGCGAACCCGCGAGGGGAGCCAAUCCCAAAAAGCCGCUCUCAGUUCGGAUUGCAGGCUGCAACUCGCCUGCAUGAAGCCGGAAUCGCUAGUAAUCGCGGAUCAGCAUGCCGCGGUGAAUACGUUCCCGGGCCUU